GGUUUUAUUAGAUUUCUGUACAUCACAAUUUACAGAGCUUCAGAUAUCUUCGUCUUCCUCGUCUCUUCAACUUGUGCAGGAAAAACCAACAGAAUUCAUACUUUGGGAAGUUUUUAUUGAUCAUGAUGGGAACGAACUACUGGAAUAGCAUAACGAAUACCCAGUCAUUCUUGCUUGAAAAAUUAGCAAACCGAAGUCAUCCUCAGGCAGGAUUGACGAAUAGUUCAGUACGACAAUUGAAAUUAAUCCUCCAUACCCGCCGGCUACUACUCUAAGGACAUGGUAUUGUAGAUGUGCUUCUUUGGCCAAACAAAAUCGAGAGCUAAUGCUUAUUGCAUACACGGCAAGUGAAACAGCCUCAACAUGCUCUCUUCUGUUUGUUCCUUUUGAGGAAAAGGUCAUACCAAUUGCUAAUAUCCAACAGCAACCUCUGGAAAGCUUUUUAAUUCCUUACAAGGUCUUAUGUUUCUGGAGGCCUUUUGAGACUGAGGGCUUGUGGCUUGAUUAGACCAAUUAAUGGCAUGCACGAAGAAAAAGCAGUACAGCAACAAUUCACCACAAUCAAAGCGUAGCACCGAGAAAGGGCAAAAACCAGGUUUCAAGAGAUUUCAAAAAUCAUAUUUCAGGUGGUGGGACCAACUGUUUCAACGAGGAAGUACCAGGGGGCAAAUUCUUAGAGGCAGACUAAGGUUCUAAAGUGGAUUGAAGCUCACAUUAGAGAAUAUUAUGGCUAAAGAUGGACCAAGAUGUAUAAAGACAAAUUAUGUUUGAGGAAGCAAGUUAAGUUUUGAAUGAUGUUGUUGGGAGCAUAAGAAUUGUUGCGUCAUUUUGUGCGAAAGAGAAGGUCAUGGAAAUGUGUAGAUAACAGAGCCAAGAGCCAAGGCCUACUGAAUGCAAGAAAAACUUGACAAGUUUUUUUCCCUCUGAUGAUGGCAACUAUAUUUAUGUCCCAGUCAAGCUCAUUGGCACCAAGUAUAGCCAAGGGUGGCUGUGCUUCAAUAUGUGCUAUUCCGAACAAGAAAUCGGAAUAUUCAAGUGAUGAUUCUGGUAUUACACAGGACACUCUGAAAGGGAGAUUUUGAGCUAUAAUAUGCAGCCUUCAGGAAGCAUCAAGGCAGCUCAAGUACAAGAAUUGAAAGAGAAUCUGGAUAGCCAUCAUUUACUAGUGUUUUGUGGAGCUUAAGGAAAGAGAGAGAUCUACACAUGUCCGAAGCCACAGUUGAUGUUAUUAAAUUAGACUAUUCUAUUUUAGUUCAAAAUCAUAUGAACAUCAUUUAUCUUUGACGAUUUAUAUGAUGUUGUAUUGUGAUUUUGUCUUCAUCUAAUUUGAUGAAAUUUUUAUUCUCUGCGAAUCCAAAACCAAAAGAAAUUGAUAAUAAUAGUUUUAACUUUCAAAAUAUUGGGCCCGUGCUGGCACGGGCUAUCCUUACCUAGUCUAUUAUAUAGAAGAGGAGUUUCGACGUGUGUUUCAUGUCUUUUUUAUAAAGCUCGAGGGUAAUUUAGUCAUUCGCAUAAGCUCCUACAAAUUUCCUGUACGUGGCUAGGUUUGUGUACGCAAAACUAUACGUGUAAUUUUUAUAUAAUUCCACCUGUAUUUUAAGAAGAUUGUCACGUUAGGUUUUUCAUUAAUUUCUUUCAGAUUACUUCUCAGUUUACAGUCUUCCAUGUUCCUUUUCUCGCUCAAAUUGCAGGUAUGUUUCACUUUCAAUCAAUUUUUCCCAUAUUUUUUUCUCCUUUUUCCUAUGUUCUUUUCACUCAGGGUUUUUCUCCAUCUGCUAUGAAUUGUGUUGAUUUUCUCUGCACUCUGUUGGUAUGUUGGCAGAUAUGUGUUGGUUUCCUUCAAACAAGAAUUUGAUAAAGCACAAAUAGUCUAUGUAUUGCUUCCUAUUUUCUUGAUUUCUCAGUUGCUUGUCCCUUAUUAAUUUUUUUGUUUCUAUUAUGUUGCGCCUUUUUCCAAUUUUUGAGUUGCGCCUCCCUAUUUCUGAUGUUUUUGUUGUUUUGUUUAUUUCAUCAGAAAUAGUUUUAUUCUCAUUCUUUCGCUCAAGUGCUUUGUUAUUUUUUUUUUCAGUUUUCAUCUGGUACUUAAUUCUUCUUUUUUAGUUGCAGUUAUCUGAUAGUGUUGGUGAUUUAUUAUCUUCCGGUCCUUCUUGACUAUCCGAACCAAGUAAAUGUUCAGAGUGAUUCGGUGUAAGCAGGGUUGGAGUUUUCAGACCGCUGAUUGGCAAUUUUGAGUGCAUGAGUUCAGACUGUAUAUAUCUAUUAUUGAGAGAUCUUCCCUUCCACACCAGAUUAAGAGGUGAAACAUACCCAACAUGGUGCUAAUAUGAAUACAAUGAUCAGGAUCUGUAUGUCUUAGUUUAGAAGCUACCUCACUCAUAAAGUAAUAUGAGAGUAAUAUGAUGGUUAAUAUAAGAUAGUAGCACAACAGUUGAAACUUGCUGAUAGGUCAUAUCUGUGCUCUUGGUGUUCUGUUAGGUUCUUUUACUUCUGAAAUGAUGACAAUUUCCAGCACGGACCAUAACCAUCUAUAUAUUAGAAGAGCCAGAGUUUCGACCUGGCUACUUCAUGGCAACAAAAGUAAAGUUAAGGAUAUUUUAGUCAUUUUAGUGUAAACUCUAUGUGGCUUUUUUUACUGAACCCACAUCAUACACUUAUCCUUAUUUCGCUAUUCUUCUUCAUAGAUAGCUUUCUUCUCUCUCGAUCUUCCUCGGUGAUGCCUCUGAUUUUCAAUGAAUUUUACUGAUAAUACAGAACUAGAGUUAAUUAUGGAAAGAGCAUUAUGUAGCGAAUAAGGUGAAGAAGGGGUCGAGAUUGGUACGCUCAAUGGACAUGUCUCUCUUGAUAAUUUGAAGACUUUGUUAUUGUAGAAUAAAGGUAUGUAUAUGUACUGCUAAUAGAUUUUCAGUGUUGUAUAUUUCCAUAUAGUUGGUAUUUGUGUUGAAGCUAACGACCACUUUCGUUUCUCUAUUUUCAUGACUCGAAUCUGAUUUCUUAAAUAAAAAAUUCUUUGUCGCCAAGGUGUAUGACAAAAUUCUUCAAUGAAUUGGACUGUGUCUUUGGUUUCUUAUGCAUCCUCCGAAGGUAACAGAGAAAAUAGAAAAUUAUGAAUGCAUGUACUAUCAUAUUCUCAACAGGGGAGAGCCGAAUGUUUGACACGGUUAGCAUCUGUAAUUCUUUACACCUUUUUCCUUUCUCCUUUUUCACCACACAGCAUGAGAUUAAAAUUAUAGAGAAAAACUUUGACGAGUUUCUGUUGUAACUGUGGAUUUUCUGUAUUUCAUAUUUUUUUUACGAAUGAAAUAAACUGAUAUUACCCAAAUCUGUUGUGGGACUUGAAAAUUUAAAUGCGGUAUAGAGAAUUUCAGAUUCUUGGAAGUAUAUUCUUGGUUCUCUUUCUUCUCAUAGAAGCUCCUUAUCGCUAGCUAUAUGUAAUUGUGUCUCAUUUGCUAAAUUUUCAUGAAUUUCCAACACAAUCACUCGGGAAAGUAAUAGGCUCAAGUUUGCUUAUAGGUAUCUGUAUUUGUAUGGUCCCUUUGGAUGGAACAUUACCAAAAAAUUACAAGUUAGUUGACUGAUGUAUGGAGCUUCUGUAAGGUGAUUUCUUUGAAAAGAUUCAAAGUAUGGAUUGCUUUAUUUAGAUGGAAUUUGUAUUAAUAUUUCACUACAUGAGACAGUAACAUUUAAACCUUAAGAAUUUUGCUCCAAUUUCUGCAAUUUGUGAUUGUAACUACUUGGACUUGUCUCAUUUUUGUUCAAAAAAAGGGACAAUUCACUGCAUUCAAGUUAUUUUUGCUUCUUGUAUACAAGAAGUGAUUAAUUUGUGUUAUUUUCUACUUUGAUUAAUAAAUUUGGUACAUUUGUCUGAUCUUUUCAUUCAAAGUUCAGUCCCUUUUGAAGAAGAGAUACGGGAUAGAGACCUAAGACUCCAAUGAAGACUUCAACAUCUUUCAGGAUGAAAACAUUCUUCUAUAGUCGUGAACUUAUAGGAAAACCUUGCCUUCUUCUUUAGGAAAUAGUGGUAACAGGUUAUGGUGGUUGGGGAUAUUUUGGUAGCAUUUUCAGCAUCAAUGACGUCUUUGAACAUUUGCAGCAAGAGAUGAUCUUCUUACUUUUUGGAGACACUAAAUUCUGAUAGAAUUUCCUCUUGCUCUUCAGACGAAAUCUUUUCUGCCAAAGUUGGACCCAAAAACUUGAGAUUGAGGGGAAGUCUCUACGAAGUGGAAUGUAAUGACAAUGGAGAUAGUUUGGGCAGGGGUAAUUCUUUAAUAUAUAAUGACUAUUGGCAUGGUAGUUCCUUUACAUGUAAAACUAUAUAGAUACUAUCAUCUUUACACUUAAGCAUCUAAUUAUCAUAUUGCGCAAUGGAUGUAAAGAAUGUAUUAUUCGCCAUAAUGCAACAUCAUGAUGAUUAUUUUGCUCCAAAA